UAUAAAUUAAAGAAAAACCCAUCUGACAAGUACCCUUUGGUUUCCGGAGUAGAUGAUGGACAAUGGACAGCCUUUGAUCUAGGCAACAUCAUCCUACACGUAUUUAAAGAAGAGGUACGAGAGAUGUACGACCUUGAAACUCUCUGGGCUGUUGGGCCUAAGUACGAUGAGAAAAGUCAAGAGACUGUUAAUCCGUACAUACUGGAAGACACAGAUAUGAAUUGGCUUCGGGAAUUUUACGAAGAAAAGGAAGAAAACUAGGGAAGAGACUUGAUGAGAUAAGCAAGACGAGUACUAGAAGUUGGAAGCCAUUAAGCUAUACAACCACUCGCUCAAAAUUUUCUGAGGAUCACUAAUUUUUCAAAACUGAUUCAUCAUUUGUUCAGUAAGCAGUAACAAACAAUUUUUCAGUGAUUCACUACCAUAUUCGACCUAAUAAGCACAUCUGCCCAUAUAAGUACAACCCCACCUUUUUCAGGAAAGAGGAUGUUUGUGCUAAUUGAAACAUAUGAAAAGUUCCUUACCUACUAACGACAAGGAUCUUUUUAUACAAUCUUCAGUCUUUUAACGAAAGGCUGUGGAUAUGUGUUUCCUUCAUAAAGAGAUGUAAAUAACAAAAUGUUAUUUUUCACAUCCAGAUUUCACUUGGAAACUUUUCCCGGUAUUUUGUUAUAGUAAGUGCAUCCUUUUGUGUUUUUGUAAGUACACAGUGUGUUUAUAAGGUUGAAUACGUUAUGUUUCACUUUUCAGCAAAAUGAAACAAAGAGACUACACUAUAACUGUAUGCUAAAAAAUGGCAAUAAUGAGUUGUACAGAAAAUCUGCUGGCGACAAAAUUCGCUCUCACUAUUUCUUGAAAUAAAUCAUAUUGUAUGUUUGGGAUUCACACAAUAAAUACCCAAGUAAGUAAUUUGUAAAAUUU